rnacentral:misc_RNA from 1 species
GCUUCAUUGUCAAAAGAGAAACUACUUUUUUUGGCUGCUCUCUCUCUCUAGCUGGAGAAGUGAAAAAAGGAAGCUUUUGCUUAGUAAUUAAUGGUUCGAGUUCUGACACAUAAAGAGAAAGAAAGGAGUUUCUGCUGGGAAGGAGCUGAGUGUUUUGAAUUUCAUUGGAGAACUGGAUAGCAAUUAAUGAUGGAUGAGUAUAUUGAUCUUUAUUUCCCUUCUGCAUCAUGGGCAGAUGGAGAUUUUAAGGAAAAAUCAUCUUGGGGCUACAGUGAAACUGGUCAACUGAAUUUGCUGCUUCCUGCCUCAAUUAGACUAUAUGAAAAUGACAAAGGAAACCCACCCUUAAGUAUGAUUAGUUCAAAACCAAGCGUGGAGUGUAUACACACUCCAGAUAAGUCACCACUCACUCUUGGUAGUGAGUCAAAUUAUGCUGUUGACAAAUGUCUAAUUUCUGGGAACGCUCAAUUGCAAAAGGUCAGUCAAAACUGCAGGGGCAAAGUCUCCCCAACAAUGAAUGGCAGCUUAAAAGUUGGAAGUGUCGGCGUGCAAUAUGACAAAUCUCUUCCCACACUGGCGUCAUUGAAUCUUAGUUAUCCAAAGCAGCUUCCAGUGGUUGAUGAAUUAACAUCGUCUCCUUCCCUUACUGAGGUUUCCCUUACUGAGGCAGGCAAUGUUGGACACGAUGGCCUUGACAGUGAACAAUUUGAGUAUCACAGGUCCAUCAAAGAUAUGCAUAAUCUAUCAAUGGCAAAAGUGUGGCCUUCAGCAUCACAUGAGGAUGUUUCUUCUAUAUCUGCUCUGAUGGGACAAGACAUGGUGCAGCAAUUUGGUGUUCAAGAAGGAAAUUUGGAUGACGAAAGUGACUUUAUGAGGAAGAGGCAUGUUAGCAUGGAUCAAAUUCUGCAACUUGAUAAGUUGUCUACUACAGUCACCACAAAGGAUAAGGAAGAUUUGCAAAGUUAUCCAUUCUCUUCUUUCACAGCUGGGCCAAAUAUAACAAUGGCGACAAAUGAAGCAUUAUUUCUUUCACAGGUGCUAGUUAUACUUAAGUUUUCUCUUGCUUUUCCAUAGACUCAUCACUUGUCAAUUAACAAAUGUGACUGCCAGUCCUAUCAGCUGCUAGAAAUGAAUGAAGGGAAUCCCAUUAAGCUUUAUACAAACCAAGCUUACAUUUUCAAUUGCAGACUACAUCAGCUGCUCCUGCUUGUGACAGAACUGUAAAGCCUCGUGUAAGGGCACGCCGUGGCCAGGCUACUGAUCCACACAGUAUAGCUGAAAGGGUUAGUCUUUCUCAUAGGUUCUUGUAAUUAAAAGUAGUUUAUUAAUUUGUUAUCUUCAAGCAUGGGCUUCACAAUGUUGGACCUUGAGGUUGACAUGUCACAAGCAAUUGAAUUUGCUGGUAGUUUUUCAGACACAAAUGUUCAUAAUUUUUGUCUUAACAACAUCUAACUGCUCAGCUUCGGAGGGAAAAAAUUGCUGAAAGGAUGAAGAAUCUGCAAGAACUUGUUCCUAAUUCUAGCAAGAUUGAUAAGGCAUCUAUGCUUGACGAGAUCAUAGAGUAUGUCAAAUUUCUUCAGCUCCAAGUCAAGGUACUUAGCAUGAGCAGAGUAGGAGCAGCAGGAGCAAUCAUUCCUCUCAUCACAGAUGUUCAAGUUGAGGGUUCUAACAGUCUGUCACUCGCACCAUCAGCUGGUUUGGGAAUUGAUAUUUCUCCAUCUCCAGACCAAGUUGCCUUUGAGCAAGAAGUGCUUAAGCUCAUGGAAUCCAAUUUGACUACUGCCAUUCAAUAUCUUCAAAGCAAAGGCCUCUGCCUCAUGCCCAUCGAUUUAGCUACUGCCAUCUCCAGGGGAAAGGCACCGUUAUCAUGCAAUGGAUCUGAAGAGGAACAGAAAAUUAGCUUUGCCAAUGAUCUUGUUCAUAGCAACAGCAUCAGCCGCAGUAGAAACUGCAGCUUUUCUGGCACCGAGACCCAUCAAGUGUCAAACGAUGACAAUAUUAUGACCGAGCAGCUCAGCAAAGGCAACAUUUCCAAUGGGUGCAAUGGGAUGGUCAAACGAGAGAAGGCAAAGAAUAAUUUUCUCAGAUAAUCAAACUCUAAAUCAGUACUUCAAUAAUCUAAUCAUGAAUCAAAUUUUGAAGCUGAAACUAUUUAGAUGAGAAAUUCUAAAAUUUAAUAAAGCUUUUGCAG